AGUCACCUGCCUUAAUAUCUCAAAACUGACUUACGAGUCACGUUUGAGAUAUUUGCUCUUUAAAAAUCUGGAUCAAGCUGAAAAUUGAAACACAGAACAACGAAAGUUGUUCGUGAGUCUCUCAAAUUNAUCACCUCCUUACCUUAAAGAAGCGUACUUUGCAGUGCUCACACAGAUUGUCUGAUGAAAAGUGAAUAGCAAGGCGUUUACGCGUUGGGAGUGAGGCUGAAAAAAUAAGGCCGUUCGCUUUCUAUUAAUGAAAGCUCACCCUACACGAAAAUAUCACGCAGCGCGUGAUAAGCAAUUUUCGUGUCCCCUUCGUCUAGAGGCCCAGGACACCGCCCUUUCACGGCGGUAACAGGGGUUCGAAUCCCCUAGGGGACGCCUGAGGGAAAGGCGAAAAGAACCCCGGCGAGGGGAGUGAAAAAGAACCUGAAACCGUGUACGUACAAGCAGUGGGAGCCCCACCACUAAGCCAGUGGUGAACUCCACAUACGCAUCCUUUGCUGAGGAUACGGUUAACGGAGCGAAAGCGACGUUCAACCUCAAAAGAAGCAGAGGGGGCUUAGUGGUGGGGUGACUGCGUACCUUUUGUAUAAUGGGUCAGCGACUUAUAUUCUGUAGCAAGGUUAACCGAAUAGGGGAGCCGGAGGGUAAUAGCUCACUGGUCGAGUCGGCCUGCGCGGAAGAUGUAACGGGGCUAAACCAUGCACCGAAGCUGCGGCAGCGACGCUUAUGCGUUGUUGGGUAGGGGAGCGUUCUGUAAGCCUGUGAAGGUGGCCUGUGAGGGUUGCUGGAGGUAUCAGAAGUGCGAAUGCUNGUUGGGUAGGGGAGCGUUCUGUAAGCCUGUGAAGGUGGCCUGUGAGGGUUGCUGGAGGUAUCAGAAGUGCGAAUGCUGACAUAAGUAACGAUAAAGCGGGUGAAAAGCCCGCUCGCCGGAAGACCAAGGGUUCCUGUCCAACGUUAAUCGGGGCAGGGUGAGUCGACCCCUAAGGCGAGGCCGAAAGGCGUAGUCGAUGGGAAACGGGUUAAUAUUCCCGUACUUGGUGUUACUGCGAAGGGGGGACGGAGAAGGCUAUGUUGGCCGGGCGACGGUUGUCCCGGUUUAAGCGUGUAGGUGUGUGUUCCAGGUAAAUCCGGUUCACUUUAACACUGAGGCGUGACGACGAGGCACUACGGUGCUGAAGCAACAAAUGCCCUGCUUCCAGGAAAAGCCUCUAAGCAUCAGGUAACAUCAAAUCGUACCCCAAACCGACACAGGUGGUCAGGUAGAGAAUACCAAGGCGCUUGAGAGAACUCGGGUGAAGGAACUAGGCAAAAUGGUGCCGUAACUUCGGGAGAAGGCACGCUGACACGUAGGUGAAGUGAUUUACUCACGGAGCUGAAGUCAGUCGAAGAUACCAGCUGGCUGCAACUGUUUAUUAAAAACACAGCACUGUGCAAACACGAAAGUGGACGUAUACGGUGUGACGCCUGCCCGGUGCCGGAAGGUUAAUUGAUGGGGUCAGCGCAAGCGAAGCUCCUGAUCGAAGCCCCGGUAAACGGCGGCCGUAACUAUAACGGUCCUAAGGUAGCGAAAUUCCUUGUCGGGUAAGUUCCGACCUGCACGAAUGGCGUAAUGAUGGCCAGGCUGUCUCCACCCGAGACUCAGUGAAAUUGAACUCGCUGUGAAGAUGCAGUGUACCCGCGGCAAGACGGAAAGACCCCGUGAACCUUUACUAUAGCUUGACACUGAACAUUGAGCCUUGAUGUGUAGGAUAGGUGGGAGGCUUUGAAGUGUGGACGCCAGUCUGCAUGGAGCCGACCUUGAAAUACCACCCUUUAAUGUUUGAUGUUCUAACGUGGACCCGUAAUCCGGGUUGCGGACAGUGUCUGGUGGGUAGUUUGACUGGGGCGGUCUCCUCCUAAAGAGUAACGGAGGAGCACGAAGGUUGGCUAAUCCUGGUCGGACAUCAGGAGGUUAGUGCAAUGGCAUAAGCCAGCUUGACUGCGAGCGUGACGGCGCGAGCAGGUGCGAAAGCAGGUCAUAGUGAUCCGGUGGUUCUGAAUGGAAGGGCCAUCGCUCAACGGAUAAAAGGUACUCCGGGGAUAACAGGCUGAUACCGCCCAAGAGUUCAUAUCGACGGCGGUGUUUGGCACCUCGAUGUCGGCUCAUCACAUCCUGGGGCUGAAGUAGGUCCCAAGGGUAUGGCUGUUCGCCAUUUAAAGUGGUACGCGAGCUGGGUUUAGAACGUCGUGAGACAGUUCGGUCCCUAUCUGCCGUGGGCGCUGGAGAACUGAGGGGGGCUGCUCCUAGUACGAGAGGACCGGAGUGGACGCAUCACUGGUGUUCGGGUUGUCAUGCCAAUGGCACUGCCCGGUAGCUAAAUGCGGAAGAGAUAAGUGCUGAAAGCAUCUAAGCACGAAACUUGCCCCGAGAUGAGUUCU
rnacentral:rRNA from 1 species